UACGAAGGGGGCUAGCGUUGCUCGGAAUCACUGGGCGUAAAGGGUGCGUAGGCGGGUCUUUAAGUCAGGGGUGAAAUCCUGGGGCUCAACUCCAGAACUGCCUUUGAUACUGAAGAUCUUGAGUUCGGGAGAGGUGAGUGGAACUGCGAGUGUAGAGGUGAAAUUCGUAGAUAUUCGCAAGAACACCAGUGGCGAAGGCGGCUCACUGGCCCGAUACUGACGCUGAUGCACGAAAGCGUGGGGAGCAAACAGG
rnacentral:rRNA from 1 species